GAGUUUGAUCCUGGCUCAGAAUGAACGUUGGCGGCGUGGAUUAGGCAUGCAAGUCGAACGGGCCGCAAGGCCAGUGGCGCAAGGGUGAGUAAGGCGAAGGUAACCAACCCCAGGGUUGGGCAUAGCCGGGGGAAACCCCGGGUAAUUCCCAGCGACGUGACGCCCCGGCAUCGGGGGGUCACCAAAGAUUCAUCGCCCUGGGACGGGCCUUCGUGGUAUUAGGUUGUUGGCGGGGUGACGGCCCACCAAGCCUGCGAUGCCUACCGGGCGUGCGAGCGUGGCCCGGCACACUGGGACUGAGACACUGCCCAGACUCCUACGGGAGGCUGCAGUCGAGAAUCUUCGGCAAUGGGCGCAAGCCUGACCGAGCGACGCCGCGUGGAGGAUGAAGGCCUUCGGGUUGUAAACUCCUGUCGAGGGGGAGGAAGGCGCAAGCUUGACCGAUCCCUGGAGGAAGCACGGGCUAAGUUCGUGCCAGCAGCCGCGGUAAUACG
rnacentral:rRNA from 1 species